rnacentral:rRNA from 2 species
GCAAGUCGAGCGGACAGAUGGGAGCUUGCUCCCUGAAGUCAGCGGCGGAGGGUGAGAAACACGUGGGCAACCUGCCUGUAAGACUGGGAUAACUCCGGGAACCGGGGCUAAUACCGGAUAAUUCUUUCCCUCACAUGAGGGAAAGCUGAAAGAUGGUUUCGGCUAUCACUUACAGAUGGGCCCGCGGCGCAUUAGCUAGUUGGUGAGGUAACGGCUCACCAAGGCAACGAUGCGUAGCCGACCUGAGAGGGUGAUCGGCCACACUGGGACUGAGACACGGCCCAGACUCCUACGGGAGGCAGCAGUAGGGAAUCUUCCGCAAUGGACGAAAGUCUGACGGAGCAACGCCGCGUGAGUGAUGAAGGUUUUCGGAUCGUAAAACUCUGUUGUUAGGGAAGAACAAGUACCGGAGUAACUGCCGGUACCUUGACGGUACCUAACCAGAAAGCCACGGCUAACUACGUGCCAGCAGCCGCGGUAAUACGUAGGUGGCAAGCGUUGUCCGGAAUUAUUGGGCGUAAAGCGCGCGCAGGCGGUUCCUUAAGUCUGAUGUGAAAGCCCCCGGCUCAACCGGGGAGGGUCAUUGGAAACUGGGGAACUUGAGUGCAGAAGAGAAGAGUGGAAUUCCACGUGUAGCGGUGAAAUGCGUA